AGAGUUUGAUUCUGGCUCAGGAUGAACGCUAGCGAUAGGCCUAACACAUGCAAGUCGAGGGGCAGCACAUGAAGUAGCAAUACGGAUGGUGGCGACCGGCGCACGGGUGAGUAACGCGUAUGCAACCUGCCUACAACAGGGGAAUAACCCGUUGAAAGACGGACUAAUACCCCAUAACACAGGGAUCCCGCAUGGGAAUAUUUGUUAAAGAUUUAUCGGUUGUAGAUGGGCAUGCGUUCCAUUAGCUGGUUGGUGAGGUAACGGCUCACCAAGGCAACGAUGGAUAGGGGAACUGAGAGGUUUACCCCCCACACUGGUACUGAGACACGGACCAGACUCCUACGGGAGGCAGCAGUGAGGAAUAUUGGUCAAUGGACGCAAGUCUGAACCAGCCACGUCGCGUGAAGGAAGACGGCCCUACGGGUUGUAAACUUCUUUUGUAAGGGAAUAAAGUGCAGUACGUGUACUGUUUUGCAUGUACCUUACGAAUAAGGAUCGGCUAACUCCGUGCCAGCAGCCGCGGUAAUACGGAGGAUCCGAGCGUUAUCCGGAUUUAUUGGGUUUAAAGGGUGCGCAGGCGGGAGAUUAAGUCGGCGGUGAAAUUUUGCAGCUCAACUGUAAAAGUGCCUUCGAAACUGGUUUUCUUGAGUGUGGAUGAAGUAGGCGGAAUUUGUGGUGUAGCGGUGAAAUGCAUAGAUAUCACGAGGAACUCCGAUUGCGCAGGCAGCUUACUAAACCAUAACUGACGCUCACGCACGAAGGCGUGGGGAUCAAACAGGAUUAGAUACCCUGGUAGUC
rnacentral:rRNA from 1 species